ACGCACGACACCUCCCGUUCAGUUCUCCGACUCUCAUUUUCCGCGAGGAAUGUCUGCUGCAGACCUCUCAACAAUGGCUGACACUUCACGAUACGUCGCAUCCGAGCCUGUAUCAGGACCUCGUGCUUGCCGCGGUUGGAGCUAUCGCGAUCUAUGGUUGUCUAUACCAGACAAUGCAGUCUAGUUGAGAGAAUGAGUUUCGGAACUUAACCCUAAGUAGCCCUUUGGUUCAAGUUUUGCGUCCGCAGUCGUUGAACCUGUCUUUUAAACCCGCCCGGCCUGCCGGAGAAGCUAUCGCCGCUGAGAAGUGGUAAGCCUCGCCGGUGGCCGCGGUCGGUGGACUGGCAGGGAACACAUUCCAGUCACCGUCAGGUGCGCGAGAGGGGGUUGCUAUGAGUCGUUUGGGUAAGAGCCUUUGGUCUGAGGCCGCUCGUCAGGACCUAUCCGCUGGAACCAGUACUCUGGCCAAGAGUAGAUCGCUGGGAGAGGACAGCCGUCAUGGCUUGCAGGAUCGAACUGGCGACCUUCCGCUUUUCGGGGUUUUAUGUCAUGCCCAUGUAUGAGGCUCGACUAUACGUUGGUUGGUUUGGGGAUAGAGCUCAGCGUCGGUCACAUACAGUCAGGAUCACAGUUUCAACCCGCCAUCUACCUCAGUCUUGCCUCGCCGGCCGCACUACGAUGUUGCGAGGAGUCCUAGGCCUACAAACAGAAACUUGUCGAUCUGACCACAGCAACCACGCUCAGCUCUCGGCUCUCUCCUCUCUGAUACACGACCCCGAACGAACUUGGCAGGUAAGAACUGCCAGUAUCGGAUCUUGCAGCCAGUCAGCUCUUCUCCGAGCCACACCACGGCACCUGCCACCGGUGUGACAUGCCCGCAUGUGAUCUGGCCAGGCGCAUCAGCCUCCAGUCGUGGGUUCUGUCCCACGACAUCGGGGGACGCCAAAUCCUCGUUGUUCUGCUUGUGGUUCAACACUUUCCCGAUGCUCUUCCGGAAACGGGGCCAACGGAUGAGAGCGCGGUUUUUUGUGGAUGUCUUUUGUCCGCGCGGAAUGCCCUCCUUUUGCGAUUCGUCGCUGGAGAGGAAACAAAAACCAGUCCAAGGAGGUCGUGCGAACCAAACAGAGCGAGCUUCUUGGUUGCUUUGGACUUACACAGAACUGGGCUUCGAUUCGCCGAACCUCGGAUGGCGAGAUAGAUGAUGGCUGUGCUGAGUGAGCGAAGGCGACUGACUCUGCGGAGGCCUUCGUGUCGGAGGCGGUGGGCGGCUGAACAAGUGCAAAGCGAUCCUGGGACCCAUCUCGUGUUGGAGUCAAAGUUUUGUGCUUGUCCGGGAUCGCCUAGGACAUGGUCUGCCAGUCACCCCUAACGGCUCGAGGUUUGCGCUCUUGUUGGAUCAAAAGGACAGGCCAUUGGAAGGUAGUCCUGGUUGUUGCCUCUCCAGAAAUGGCGAGACGGCAACCCC
rnacentral:telomerase_RNA from 1 species